rnacentral:rRNA from 1 species
GAAACUAACAAGGAUUCCCCUAGUAGCGGCGAGCGAAGCGGGAAGAGCUCAAAUUUAUAAUCUGGCACCUUCGGUGUCCGAGUUGUAAUCUCUAGAAAUGUUUUCCGCGUUGGACCGCACACAAGUCUGUUGGAAUACAGCGGCAUAGUGGUGAGACCCCCGUAUAUGGUGCGGACGCCCAGCGCUUUGUGAUACAUUUUCGAAGAGUCGAGUUGUUUGGGAAUGCAGCUCAAAUUGGGUGGUAAAUUCCAUCUAAAGCUAAAUAUUGGCGAGAGACCGAUAGCGAACAAGUACCGUGAGGGAAAGAUGAAAAGCACUUUGGAAAGAGAGUUAACAGUACGUGAAAUUGUUGGAAGGGAAACGCUUGAAGUCAGACUUGCUUGCCGAGCAAUCGGUUUGCAGGCCAGCAUCAGUUUUCCGGGAUGGAUAAUGGUAGAGAGAAGGUAGCAGUUUCGGCUGUGUUAUAGCUCUCUGCUGGAUACAUCUUGGGGGACUGAGGAACGCAGUGUGCCUUUUGGCGGGGGUUUCGACCUCUUCACACU